AGUGAACGCUGGCGGUAGGCCUAACACAUGCAAGUCGAGCGGCAGCACAGUAAGAGCUUGCUCUUACGGGUGGCGAGUGGCGGACGGGUGAGGAAUACAUCGGAAUCUACUUUUUCGUGGGGGAUAAUGUAGGGAAACUUACGCUAAUACCGCAUACGACCUACGGGUGAAAGCAGGGGAUCUUCGGACCUUGCGCGAUUGAAUGAGCCGAUGUCGGAUUAGCUAGUUGGCGGGGUAAAGGCCCACCAAGGCGACGAUCCGUAGCUGGUCUGAGAGGAUGAUCAGCCACACUGGAACUGAGACACGGUCCAGACUCCUACGGGAGGCGGCAGUGGGGAAUAUUGGACAAUGGGCGCAAGCCUGAUCCAGCCAUACCGCGUGGGUGAAGAAGGCCUUCGGGUUGUAAAGCCCUUUUGUUGGGAAAGAAAAGCAGCAGGUUAAUACCCCGCUGUUCUGACGGUACCCAAAGAAUAAGCACCGGCUAACUUCGUG
rnacentral:rRNA from 1 species